rnacentral:rRNA from 1 species
GACGAACGCUGGCGGCGUGCCUAAUACAUGCAAGUUGAGCGCUGAAGGUUGGUUCUUGUCCCCACUGGAUGAGCAGCGCACGGGUGAGUAACGCGUGGGGAAUCUGCCUUUGAGCGGGGGACAACAUUUGGAAACGAAUGCUAAUACCGCAUAAAAACUUUAAACACAAGUUUUAAGUUUGAAAGAUGCAAUUGCUUCACUUAAAGAUGAUCCCGCGUUGUAUUAGCUAGUUGGUGAGAUAAAGGCUCACCAAGGCGAUGAUACAUAGCCGACCGGAGAGGGGGAUCGGCCACACUGGGACUGAGACACGGCCCAAACGCCUACGGGAGGCAGCAGUAGGGAAUCUUCGGAAAGGGAAGAAAGUCUGACCGAGAAACGCCGCGGGAGUGAAGAAGGGUGUCGGAUCGUGAAUCUCGGUUGGUAGAGAAGAACGUUGGUGAGAGUGGAAAGCUCAUCACGUGACGGUAACUAAUCAGAAAGGGACGGCUAACUACGUG